CUCCCGGGAGGCGGCGCUGCGGGCCAGGCGCCCGGCCUCAGAGCUCGGUUCCCGCGCGGCCCAGGGCCCUCCAGGACGCACUGCGCCUCUCCCCACGCCACAGCCACGCUUUGCCUUCAGGGCUGCGGGAGAAGAAUUAAUCCCCUCGGCCAUUACCGCCCCCCAAAUGCGUCUGGCCUUCCACUCACUCCUUCUUCCCUGUCGGCGGGACGACGCCGGGAGAUGGACGAUCGCGUGUCGCUGAGGGGUUCUGGGUGUUGCUGCGGGAGAGGGCUGGGGGGUGAUGCGCGCGCGCGCGCGCGUGCGUGUGUCUGUAUGUGUGUAUUCAAGGGAAGGAAGACCGCAAAGGUGUCCACACCUGCCUGUCUUGGAUCCUACCAGCCCCUCCUCCCCCGGCGAAGGGAAGGCUGCUUCCCCUGGAGCCUCUUCCCUAACCCCCCACUGCUUUCACCGCCAGCGGCGACCUUUGAAUUGCCCUGUUAUUGUUUACAAACACCUUCGCCAGCUCUUUUAGGGCCUGUCUCCACAGGAAGUGUGAAUCUGAGUUGAAAAUCUUCUGGUUAAUUUGAUCCACCUAACCAACUGAAUCACCCGCCGCCAGGCGCUCUGUCCAACUCUUCCGGAAAAAGGUAGUAAUCAGCACCCCUAAAUUUACGCAGUGCGCGCGGUGUGCCACCACCCGCUUUUCGCCUCGUCAUCCCUGUCAGCCCUCCCAAUCAUCCUCCCGAUCAUCCUCCCGGGGAGUUCUGUUAUCAUCCCUGUGUCAUAAGUGAGGAAACCAAGGCUCAGGGAGGUUAAUUAGCUUGCCCCAGGGUCACAGAGAGCGUGAGUGAUGAAGCCAGGCAACCUCUGGGCUGCUCAGUUUUUUCUCAAAACCCUUCCGUUGCCACCGGAACCCGGGCUCCCUAGAGGUCCAAGACAGACUCUGGGAGCCCUCCUCUCUCCAUCUGCUCUGUUUCAGUCUCAGCUUCAUUCCCUCCUAUACCCCUGCCAGUCAGGGCCCUCCCUGGUGUCCACCCAUCUUGGUCCUGCUAUUCUUGACCUGGAUGAAGUUCUUUCCUCUGCCCCUAGGACGCUCCCUCCCCCACUUUUCCUGUAGGCUGGUCCAUCUGUGCUGGCCUACACUUCUUCAGACACACCCUACCCACCUUUCCUUACCCUCUCCCCAGCCGCCUUUCUCCUCUACUCCCACAGUUCUGUGUGCCACUCCUGAGCCCUGGCCACACUGGGCCUCCCAACAUCUGCCUGUGGGGGACUCAGGACCCUAUCACCUGGGAGAGUGAAGGCCGAGUCCUACCCCCAGUAAGGUCCUUUCCUCCCCUCACCAUGGAGUUUACAAGCCCCACAUCUGCUGGAGAGACCAGGGACGAGAAAACGUUUUAAGUUCAAAGAGCUAUUUACUAGCCAGGGACAUUGUUAAUAUUUAAUGAAGUCCUCCCCAAAGAUGCGUGUCUGUGUGUGUGAUUUACUCAGAAGCCAAAUAUUGCAUUACAAAUAAUGAUCGGCUCUGAGACAAAUGAGAACAUAAGUCUUUUGUGCCAAGCUAAGGGGUAUUUGGCCAUCCAAAGACCAUCUCACAAAGAGAAGCUAAGGCCAAUAUGUCACUGUCCCAACUAGAUACACUUGGUAAAAAUUUUAGAACUAAAAAGGAAGGAAGAAGAAGAGGUCCCGGGUGGCCUUACCCCGUGGAUGGAAUUCUUCUUGGAGACACUUGGUGGAGGUAAUGAUUCUUCUCAGGUGACAGCAUGGCUGUCUGGGUCUGGAAUCCUGCCCAGGAAAGAUGCAGAGGUGACCCAAUUCUCAGAUGACUGUGGGUCAGGAACAUGGAUGCAGGUGGCUGGAUCCCCCACUCAGCCUCCAUCACAAGACCGCUGUGGUUAUGCUAUCCUCUGAAGACUCAGUGGCAAGGACCGGCUUCAAGCCCACAGCAUUGUUGACAGCCUUCAGUGUCUUGCAAUCUGCUGGCUGACCUCAGUUCCUCACCAGGCUGUUGGCCAAGGUCUGCCCUCCAUUUCCUGGCACUCCAGCUCCUCGUAGAGCAUCUCACCAUGCGGCAGCUGACCUCAUCAUAGUGAAUAAACAAGAACGACAAAGAAACUGUGACCAAGAUGGAAGUUACCGUCUUUUGUAAACUAAUGUUGAAUUUGAUGUCCCAUCACUUUGACUGUAUUCUAGUCAUUAGAAGCAAGUUAUUAGGUCCAGUGCCUACUGAAGGGAAGGGGAUUACACAAGAAUAUGAGCACCAGGAAAUGGGAACACGGGAGCCAUUUUAGAAACUGCCAACCACAUUUGACUUUCAAUUGGUGUUUGUUGAAUGGAUGGAUGGGUGAAUUUGGAUACAUGCAGAGAGGGAGAAUAGAGACAGGUAGGGGCAUACUGCUGUUAAGAAAUUGUUUCCUCACUAUGCUGGAAAGCCAAGGGACAUGGGCAUCAAAAGGCUUGCCUCUUUCCACUUGUCACAUGCUUUAUUUUCAAGAUUGGUUAACUUCUACUCUGAUUCCAGCCUCCUCAUUCACCCACAAAUGCACAUGUGCAUGAGACAUACAGACAGGAGGACAAUUCAGUCUUCAGAGAGGUGAAGACGUUGGCAAGCUUACACAUUGGGCUCAGAGGUUUGUAAGUUGCUUUCAGAGGAAAGGCUGGGGAAUUUGUUAAUUCGGGGAAAAGCACAUUUUUUCCCACUUGCACAACUCAAAUAAGGCUGAACACUCCCAUGCUGGAAUUUUCCAAACCAUUUCCAUUUCUCAGAUGGAGAGGAGGAAAUUUGGACAAAGCAAAGGCUUGUUUUUGAGGGAGAAAUGAGUUAUAUCUGUGGCAUACCUUUUGUGUGCUCAGCAUGAUCUUGCAUCUCAGGCCUAGAGAAGAAGUAAAGACACAAGAGGAACACCCAAGGUGGCUGCAGGGACCAAGCUAGCCUUAGAGAGAUGACAGUGAGACAAAGGGACAGCAUUGCCUCAAUGUGGUGUGCUGCUGGAGAUCAAGAAGAGGGGAUUCAUAGGGCUGACACAGGAAGGGAGAGGUUCUGGAAAUAGGUUGGUUAGAGCUUCACCUUUGAGUAUGAAAAGUGUUUGAAUAGGAGGGCAUUCUAGGCAAGGAGCAGCAUAGGAAAAAGGCUCAGAAGUGGGAAUUGGUGCGGUAUGACCAUGGGCAGAUAAAUAGGGCUGAAUAAAUGGAAGGUGUAUGUACAUGGUGACAACUAAGAAAAUGAUGAGAGUCUGAGGGGCAGGAGCUUCCUGAGUUUAGGAGGUGGGGUUAGUGAGAGUAGUCUUGGAAGGGAAAUGAAGAAAGUACUAAAGUUUGGGGGGUAGUUGGCUCAUCACUGGACCCAGGGCUGAAUAGCCCCCAGGAACAAUCUGUGGUGGGGCCGUCAUCACGCCUUCCUCAUGUCAGAGCUGCUGAGGAACACAAGUGGGUCUUGGUGACAGCUGCCAGGGGAUCAACAAAGUUCACCUGGAUUCUUUGUGGUCUGCUCUCAGGGAAAAAAUCCACCACAGAGAGAUAAGGUAGGGUCCCACUAGAACUUCUUGUGACUCCCCCCCUUCCUCAUCUAGUUCCACCCACAUCCCCUUCCAUUCUCCUUGUCCCCAUUCUCUGCUUAAUUUCUGUGCACUGCCUUUAUAGCUGUCUGGCACUUUGUGUAUUUACUUAUUUGUCUUGCAUAUGGCCUGUUUUUCCCACCGCAGUAUAAGCUCCACGAGGGCCGGGAUUUCCAGGUGAGUGCUGGGCGCAUGGGAAAACACUCAGUGUCUAUUGAAUGGAAGAGGCCUUGUUACAAAGUGAUAAACCGUGCUUAUAAAGAGCUCCAUCUGGUUAGGAAGCCGGGAUAAUAGAUUUGCUUCUUUGCCCACAGUCAGGGCCCCUGCGUCCGUAUAUGUGUGCACCUUUACCUGCAGAGAAGAGCUCAUCCUUGCUGGGAACAGCCUCCGCCUCAGUCUGGACACCAGGGAAAGCCGCAGGUGACACAGCCUCCCUCAGGGUCACACUGAUGCCCCUGCUUUGACUCACCGGAACACCUCAACUCCCCCCGCCUCCGAAUUCAGGGCUCCUGCACCAGCCUGCCUCUAUCCCCUCUGGAUGCCUACAGGAGUUCCAUCUUCUCCGUCCCCUUCUGCCAGCCUCGAUGGGUGCCAGACUGCCUCUGUGUGAGACCCUGGCUGGGAAGGGCAGGCAGGACUGGGCUUUUCUCUCCUCCAUAUCCACUCCCAGCCCCAACAGGCACCAGGAAAAAGGGUUGUUGGUGGUGUUUCAGAGGCUCCAUGACCCCAUAAAAUAUGCUUCAUUUUUCUCAGAAAAUGAGCCAUUUUUUCCCUCUUAUGUUUUCAUAUGGUGCCCAGAAGUCCCUGGAUUUCCUGGAAUUUAUAUGAAGAAUUCCAGCUAUUCCAGCUGUAGUUUUCACACACAGAGCUCCUGCCAACAGACUUUGGCCAUCUGGGGGCAGCCUGUGGCGGUGGAGUGAGCUCUGCUCUUGAGCUCUAGCCACCUGGCAAGGGCUUCUCUGCUGACCCCCUACCAUGCUUGUGGAUAUCAAAAAAAAUAAUAAUUUUAUUGAGUUAUCAUUGGCAUAUAAUAAACUACACUGAACAAUG